GAAGCUGGAUUUGCCAGAAUCCCUAAAAUACCAGUCAGAACCCAUCAGCAUCGGGAUCUCAAACCAUGGAUCUCCAACUAUGAUCAGUGGGCGUGUCACUGGGGCUCUCAUUCUUUUUAGCCUAAUGGAUUGGCUGUAGAUGAACUUUGUUUAUUUGCAUACUAUUCUGUGAUUGGACAGUCUUGCAGGCUUGGUUCAGUUGCUUGAUUCUGAGGGUUUCAUGGAGAAACAACUAAUGUUUUUGUACAGCCGAAUUACAGCGGCUUCAUGUUUGUGUAAAUUGCAUUAAUUAUAUGCA